GGGCUCAGCGGCUUUUGGCGGGAAGAUUUAUUGUAACAAGGAAAAACAUUUUUUUUUCAGUAUAGGUUGAAUUCCUCAAGAUUUGCUGGUAUGUAAAACACUGAAAGGAAAAUCCAUCUAAACUGGAAACCCUUACUCAGUGUUUGUCCACACUUCCUUCACUUUUUCCAAUGGACUUCAUGAUUACUUUGUAAAAUGAAGAACGAACGGUUCGCUGAAUAUUUACAAGGAGCAGAAGAAGCCCUGAGUGAGUGUGUACUGAAGACACAGGCAUAGAAUGUCAAAGACCCCAAAGCCUCAGACCCAUGGGAAAAUAGCCUAGCUUUCCCUGGGCUAGGCUUAGGGAAAUACAAAGCCUUCUCGGGUCCCAGAGCAAAUGGUGAUAGUAUAUGCAGAAAAUGUCCACCAUAGUCCAUCCCUACCACACACUCCCAUGACUACAGUCUGAGGACUGCUCCUACAGAGCCUGCUCCUACUAAGAUUAGUCAAACUUGUCCCCUUGAUCCAACUGUAUCCCAUAAACCCUGUGCC
rnacentral:lncRNA from 1 species